rnacentral:rRNA from 1 species
GAUGAACGCUGGCGGCGUGCCUAAUACAUGCAAGUCGAGCGAACAGACGAGGAGCUUGCUCCUCUGACGUUAGCGGCGGACGGGUGAGUAACACAUGGAUAACCUACCUAUAAGACUGGGAUAACUUCGGGAAACCGGAGCUAAUACCGGAUAAUAUAUUGAACCGCAUGGUUCAAUAGUGAAAGACGGUUUUGCUGUCACUUAUAGAUGGAUCCGCGCCGCAUUAGCUAGUUGGUAAGGUAACGGCUUACCAAGGCAACGAUGCGUAGCCGACCUGAGAGGAUGAUCGGCCACACUGGAACUGAGACACGGUCCAGACUCCUACGGGAGGCAGCAGUAGGGAAUCUUCCGCAAUGGGCGAAAGCCUGACGGAGCAACGCCGCGUGAGUGAUGAAGGUCUUCGGAUCGUAAAACUCUGUUAUUAGGGAAGAACAAAUGUGUAAGUAACUAUGCACGUCUUGACGGUACCUAAUCAGAAAGCCACGGCUAACUACGUG